CACGUAGGGUGCAAGCGUUGGUCCGGAUUUAUUGGGCGUAAAGGGCUCGUAGGCGGUUCGACAAGUCGGGUGUGAAACCUCCAGGCUCAACCUGGAGUCGCCACUCGAAACUGUUGUGACUAGAGUCCGGUAGGGGAGCAUGGAAUUCCUGGUGUAGCGGUGGAAUGCGCAGAUAUCAGGAGGAACACCAGUGGCGAAGGCGAUGCUCUGGGCCGGUACUGACGCUGAGGAGCGAAAGCAUGGGGAGCGAACAGG
rnacentral:rRNA from 1 species